rnacentral:lncRNA from 1 species
UCAUCGGUGGUGGACCCGCAGGAGGCGCAGCUGCUGAAACCCUUGCGAAAGGCGGAAUUGAGACGAUUCUGAUCGAACGCAAAAUGGACAACGCUAAACCAUGCGGCGGCGCAAUCCCACUCUGCAUGGUCGGAGAAUUUGACUUGCCCUUAGAUAUCAUCGACCGCCGUGUCACCAAGAUGAAGAUGAUCUCCCCGUCGAAUGUCGCCGUCGACAUCGGUCGAACCCUCAAACCUCACGAGUACAUCGGCAUGGUCCGCCGCGAAGUCCUCGACGCUUACCUCCGUGACCGCGCCGCCGCGGCUGGGGCAACAGUAAUCAACGGUCUUUUCUUCAAAAUGGACAAACCAACCGACAAAUACGCACCUUACGUCCUCCAUUACAACGCGUAUGACGGCAAAGCAGGAUCCGCCGGAAAGAGAGAGACUAUCGAGGUCGAUGCAGUAAUCGGAGCCGACGGUGCUAACUCCCGUGUCGCAAAAUCCAUCGACGCCGGUGACUACGAGUACGCCAUAGCGUUCCAAGAACGCAUCAAAAUCCCAGCCGAUAAAAUGCAAUACUACGAAGACCUCGCAGAGAUGUACGUCGGAGACGACGUUUCGCCGGAUUU